rnacentral:rRNA from 1 species
AGUGAUCGCUGGCGGUAGGCCUAACACAUGCGAGUCGAACGGCAGCACAGUAAGAGCUUGCUCUUACGGGUGGCGAGUGGCGGACGGGUGAGGAAUACAUCGGAAUCUACUUUUUCGUGGGGGAUAACGUAGGGAAACUUACGCUAAUACCGCAUACGACCUACGGGUGAAAGCAGGGGAUCUUCGGACCUUGCGCGAUUGAAUGAGCCGAUGUCGGAUUAGCUAGUUGGCGGGGUAAAGGCCCACCAAGGCGACGAUCCGUAGCUGGUCUGAGAGGAUGAUCAGCCACACUGGAACUGAGACACGGUCCAGACUCCUACGGGAGGCAGCAGUGGGGAAUAUUGGACAAUGGGCGCAAGCCUGAUCCAGCCAUACCGCGUGGGUGAAGAAGGCCUUCGGGUUGUAAAGCCCUUUUGUUGGGAAAGAAAAGCAGCAGGUUAAUACCCCGCUGUUCUGACGGUACCCAAAGAAUAAGCACCGGCUAACUUCGUG